UACGUAGGGGGCAAGCGUUGUCCGGAAUUAUUGGGCGUAAAGGGCUCGUAGGCGGUCCAUCGCGUCGGGAGUGAAAAGCUGGGGCUUAACCCCAGUCCUGCUUCCGAUACGGGUGGACUAGAGGUAGGUAGGGGAGAAUGGAAUUCCCGGUGUAGCGGUGAAAUGCGCAGAUAUCGGGAGGAACACCGGUGGCGAAGGCGGUUCUCUGGGCCUUACCUGACGCUGAGGAGCGAAAGCGUGGGGAGCGAACAGG
rnacentral:rRNA from 1 species